CGAGCACGCGCGUGUGGCAUAUCAAUAAGCGGAGGAAAAGAGACUAACAAGGAUUCCCUUAGUAACGGCGAGUGAAGCGGGAAGAGCUCAAAUUUGAAAUCUUCAAGGUUCUACCUUGACAAAUUGUAGUUUAUAGAAGUGUUUUCUGUUAGUGGAGUGGCAAAAGUUCUUUGGAAUAGGACAUCAUAGAGGGUGAGAAUCCCGUAUUUGGUCAUUCCUCCUAGCGUUGUGAUACACUUUCAACGAGUCGGAUUGUUUGGGAAUGCAGUCCAAAAUGGGUGGUAAAUUUCAUCUAAAGCUAAAUAUUGGCGAGAGACCGAUAGCGAACAAGUACCGUGAGGGAAAGAUGAAAAGAACUUUGAAAAGAGAGUUAAACAGUACGUGAAAUUGUCAAAAGGGAAGCGUUUGACACCAGUGUUGUUUUUCCGAAAAUCAAUUACGAAUGUUUUGUUUUUGAGGAGUUAUGACUUCAUCGGCUUGCUCCUUUCUUUACUGAAACUUUCUUAAUGCACUUUUCGGUUAACAAGUCAACAUCAAUUUCUUUUGUUGUAAAAGGGUAUGAGGAAGGUGGCUUUCUUUUCGGAGAAAGUGUUUAUAGCCUUGUGCCUCUGCAAUCGGAGAGAUUGAGGUCUGCAGCGUAGAUCCUUCGGGGUUAGAUACGUUUGUGCUAAGUUAUAGCUUUUCAUAGACAACUUGUUGACUAUGUUUAGUCUUGUAGCUUACUCGCUGACGCUAUUUUACCUACGCUUAGGAUGUUGAUGUGAUACUGCGAGCA
rnacentral:rRNA from 1 species